ensembl:lncRNA
CCAACCAACCACCCCACACAUGCCAACCUGCCAACCAACCACCCCACACAUGCCAACCUGCCAACCAACCACCCCACACAUGCCAACCAACCACCCCACACAUGCCAACCUGCCUGCCAACCAACCAACCCACACACGCCAACCAACCAGCCGACACAUGCACACCAACCAACCAAUCCACAUGUGCCAACCAGCAUGCGCCAACCAACCAACCCCCACACGCGCCAGCCAACCCACACAUCAGCAUUCUUUCUGCUGUACCGGUACGCCAUCACAGCUUGAGUGAUCACGUGAUGAGGAGAACUCAGCUGAGGUAUGGAAGCUGCAUGCUGUAUGGGUACGCAUGCUGCUGCACUCGUUCCUGCUCUGCUGCUCUCUUCUUACUGCCGUUCUGUGUAUUACGAGGAAGAGAGGAGCAGAGAGAGACAAAGACAUUCAGGUAACGAGAGAACUUUUCACUUUAUGUCUUUAUCCUCAUCAAGCUCCACAUAAAGUUCCUAUAAAGCUGUUACUGGACUGUUACUAGAUGGAGCAACUUAAUUAAGACUAGCUACCUGUGUUUCAUAGAAGAUUACGUGUCCUCCUAACAGUGGCGUAGCUAAAGGGGUGAAUCUCAUGUCAGCACUGCCCAUUGUCACUGCCACCUCUCAUUUCGCCAGAACUGUACAGAUGUUUUAUUGUUGCCAGUUUUUACUUUUCUGUCUUGUAGCUUAGACAGAUCAGAUGUUAUUGGAGUUAUCACGAUAGAUGGCUGAUGUUGAAAUUUGCUCCAUAUCUGUGGUGAAGCGUUUGAAAGUUUUUUUCAGGGUGUGGCUUCUUGACUCAGUGAGAGAAGUACUCCAGAACUGGAGAAUGAGAACUAACAGUUGGUUAGUAACGGGUCAAGAAGGAUGUUCAGGGUGAGUUUUAGGAUUAGAGUUAAACAGCAUUAAGACUUCACAACAAACUCAUUUCUGUCUUAAUUAAACGUCAUUCGUUUGUCAUUCAAGCAGCUCCUUUAGUUUCUCGGUUGUCUUUUCUCACCUAAGUAAUAUAUUCCAUACACACACACACGCACACAGUGUGUGUGUAGCGUCCUGGGAUCAUCCUUCACAUUUUCUACUAUAUCUAUCUCUCCAGCUUUUUCUCAUCAUCGUCUUUUCACUCGCUUCAUCUCUGUUCACGCUGACAUCAGUGGGGAAAUAAUCACUGAUUCAUUCCAUCAGCUCUGAUCUGUUGGUUAAAUUUCUUGUUACUUUCUUACAACUUCUUGUCUGAUCCUAUUUGUUGUUUUCAUGCGUUGUAAAACACCAACCUCCAUCAGCAUGAAUUCUACUGUGUCGGAUCUGUUACUGUACGAUGUUUGAAAUGUUUCUAUGCACAAGAAGAAAAUUGAGCUUACGAGCUUUUAUGUCAU